CAGUGAGCUGAGGCCAGUGUGGUGUUAUAUGUUUUCCUGGGGCUACACUGAAGCAAGUGGUGUUCUGGCUACUGGCUGCCUGUUUGCCCAGGGCUAUGCUGAAGCUUCUGGAGGUCUGGCCACUGCAGGUUGCCUGUUUGCCUGGGGCUAAGCUGAAGCUUAUGGUGGUUCUCAGAGAUGUAAUCUGCCCAUUCCCCUCCCUAUGCUGAGGCUUGUGGUGGGGCCUGCUGCUGGUGUUUGGCUGCUUCACUGCACUGGGGCUCUGGAUCUCCCACUGGUUUACUGAGGGUUCAUCAUGGUGGCAACAUAGGCAAUGAUGAUGGUGGCAUGGUACUUUCCUGCAAGUGGAGAUCUCAUUCUCAUCAUUCUACACAGGUGGAUUUGAAAAACAAGACAUCUUCACAAUUGAUUAUGAACCGUGGGAUACAAGACCUUACUCUGUAGCAUCGCUGAAAGCAUCUUUGGAAUGACUCCCUUAGCAGACAGCAUGGUGGAGAUCAUGAUGAUAAUUUAUACAGCAACAAUGAUGAUGAGAAAGGAGGAGCAGGAGUAAAAAGAGGAGUUGAAAGAAGAGGAGAGAGAGGAGGAAGAGGAGUAAGAGUGGGAGGAAGGAGAAGAAGAUUGAACAAAACCAGAUUGCAUUUAAAGGGCCAUGGAGUAGAUGGCAUCUAUCUUUCUCUCAGAAGUAGAGAUCUGGAGGGCUAUGGAUGACCUUCAUAUAGCACCAGAGAGCUGGAACUGCUGUGGUGAAGUGGUACUUCUAUGAUGGCUUGUUCUGGAAACCUUGCUCUUUUAGUUUGGGCCCAAGUCCACCAAGACAGUACAGAAGAUCAUUGCAACAUAUUUGAUACAACAAACUACCUAUUUAUUCUGAGCACCAUCAUCUAUUAUUUCAUAUGAAUAUUGGUUUUUGUACAUAUACACGCAUGUAUGCCUGUAGACAUAAAUGCAGAUAUGUGAAAGGUGCACACAUACCAUGUGCACAACAUGGCAAUAUAUUAAUAUGCACAUGUGAAUAUGUGCACACAUGUACACAGGCAUACAUGCACA